AACGGGGGGGGCAAGUGUUCUUCGGAAUUACUGGGCGUAAAGCGUGCGCAGGCUGUUUUGUAAGUCAGAUGUGAAAUCCCCGAGCUCAACUUGGGAACUGCGUUUGAAACUACAAGACUAGAAUAUGUCAGAGGGGGGUAGAAUUCCACGUGUAGCAGUGAAAUGCGUAGAGAUGUGGAGGAAUAUCAAUGGCGAAGGCAGCCCCCUGGGAUAAUAUUGACGCUCAUGCACGAAAGCGUGGGGAGCAAACAGG
rnacentral:rRNA from 1 species